UGCGUAGGCGGUCCCGCAAGUCCGCUGUGAAAUCCCCGGGCUUAACCUGGGAAUGGCAGUGGAAACUAGGGGACUUGAAUCUGGCAGAGGGGGGUGGAAUGCCACGUGUAGCAGUGAAAUGCGUAGAGAUGUGGCGGAACACCGAUGGCGAAGGCAGCCCCCUGGGCUGAGAUUGACGCUCAGGCACGAAAGCGUGGGGAGCAAACAGGAUUAAGAUUACCCUGGUAGUCCACGCCCUAAACGAUGAUCACUAGGUGUUGGGGAAGCGAUUUCUCAGUACCGCAGCUAACGCGCGAAGUGAUCCGCCUGGGGAGUACGGGUCGCAAGUAUUAAAA
rnacentral:rRNA from 1 species